UGCCUACGGGACGCAGCAGUGAGGAAUAUUGGUCAAUGGGCGGUAGCCUGAACCAGCCAAGUCGCGUGAAGGAUGAAGGUUCUAUGGAUUGUAAACUUCUUUUAUAAAGGAAUAAGGUGAGGCACGUGUGCCUUUUUGUAUGUACUUUAUGAAUAAGGAUCGGCUAACUCCGUGCCAGCAGCCGCGGUAAUACGGAGGAUCCGAGCGUUAUCCGGAUUUAUUGGGUUUAAAGGGAGCGUAGAUGGGUUGUUAAGUCAGUUGUGAAAGUUUGCGGCUCAACCGUAAAAUUGCAAUUGAUACCGGCG
rnacentral:rRNA from 1 species